UACGAAGGGGGCUAGCGUUGCUCGGAAUCACUGGGCGUAAAGGGUGCGUAGGCGGGUUUUUAAGUCAGAGGUGAAAUCCUGGAGCUCAACUCCAGAACUGCCUUUGAUACUGAGAAUCUUGAGUAUGGGAGAGGUGAGUGGAACUGCGAGUGUAGAGGUGAAAUUCGUAGAUAUUCGCAGGAACACCAGUGGCGAAGGCGGCUCACUGGACCGGUAUUGACGCUGAGGUGCGAAAGCGUGGGGAGCAAACAGG
rnacentral:rRNA from 1 species